rnacentral:rRNA from 1 species
ACUCAAAUGAAUUGACGGGGGCUCACACAAGCGGUGGAGCAUGUGGCUUAAUUCGAGGCUACGCGAAGAACCUUAUCCUGGACUUGACAUGUGCGAAAGCGCUAGGAAGUACCUGCCGGAAACGGCCAGGGAACGGUAUCCAAUCCGGAACCUAGUACAGGUGCUGCAUGGCUGUCGUCAGCUCGUGUCGUGAGAUGUCGGGUUAAGUCCCAUAACGAGCGAAACCCUUGCUCCUAGUUGCCAGCGGGUCAUGCCGGGGACUCUAGGAGGACUGCCGGUGUUAAACCGGAGGAAGGUGGGGAUGACGUCAAGUCCUCAUGGCCUUUAUGUCCAGGGCUGCACACGUGCUACAAUGCGGCAUACAAAGGGAGGCGAAACCGCGAGGUCGAGCAAAUCUCAAAAACUGCCGCUCAGUUCAGAUUGAAGGCUGCAACUCGCCUUCAUGAAGCUGGAAUCGCUAGUAAUCGCGGAUCAGCAACGCCGCGGUGAAUGUGUUCCUGAGCCUUGCACACACCGCCCGU